AGGUAAUAGAAGACAUCUGUCUUUGUUAGAGCAACACUAUGGAGUUUUUCAGCCUCCAAACUGUAUUUCCAAAAUCACUCUGAUGGUACAUUAAUUCCAAAUAGAGUGAAUGACACUUUCAAAAUUUUGGGGUACUUAAAAAACUACAACAUUUUCCUACUUUACGGCAUACGUCACAUCUGCCUCCCUCAUUUCUCAAAGCACGAGGUAAACGGAGUUGGAAGCGACACAGGGGGGCAGCAGUGUGCCUGCGGGCUUCCGGUCUACCGGAAAUUCACAAGAAGAAGAAGAAGAAGAAGAAGAAGAAGGAAGCAAAGUUGAAAGUUAUGGCUGCUGCAGAGACUAAAACAAGAGCCCAAAUAAGGAUUAAUGUCAGCGAGAGCUGAAAAGAACCGUUAUCAUAGCGACACAGGUGGAAGAUAUUGGCAGCUUCCGUAAACCGGACGUUGUUCCGGUUGGAUUCAGGUGCAUUAGGUGCAGUAAUGGAAUGGACGCCGGCUAAAAUAAGGGGAGAAGCUGUGAGCUGUGGCGGUCAGAGGUUCAACGUGUUCCUUGUCAAAGUGAUGCUGCAGCUAAGGAACACUGGAGGGCAGCAGCAGCCUGCAAGAAAACAUCUGCAGCUCCACAACACAACAAAGAUCAGGUGAAGUAUUUUAAUCCACAGCCUGACGGGGGGACCUCAGAGAGCAAAGCUCUUUACAGACAAUAAUCAAUCAUACAAAGGGUGUUGGCGCAGGAAAAGAUCACAUGGGUCAGGGAUAUCUCCAAACUCAGUUCAAAUAAAUAGUAUUUAAACAUGUGUAUCUGCUUUGUUUUGAUGAGAGGGAUUCUAUCAGCAAUAUGAGGAAUGAAUGUGUUUGUUGACUUUUUCUAACUUGAAAUGAAUUUGAAGGUAAAAUGAAACAGACAGUAGUAACUAUAAUGAAACGGAUUAUAAAUCUAAAAAACAGCAUCAAGUUUAAGGCUGUUACCGACGCAGGAUUCAAAUAUGUGUAAUUUUAUUGACACAUCUAACACGUAGCCUACAGCCUGUCCUACCUAAGCAGCUGUGACAGCUUCCACAAUGAUUACCAAGCUAAAACUAAUUCAAGAGAGGAUACAUUUUCAUUUGCCACUGGAUGUAGUGAUGAAUGUUUUAGAGGCAACAGACAGGAAAGAGUUGCAACUGGUUUGUUGUCUAGCAGCAGCUACCACUGUGUGAACAAGCCCAAUGUAGACGGCAUGUUUGUACUGACACAUCCAGUACAGUACAUACAUCAUGACCUGCCUUGUAUUGUUUUUGGUUUGGUAGCCCAUGUCAAAGCUGUCACUACUGGUUAGCAAAUUCCGGCUUGAAAAUUGAGAUUAUUUUAUUCCUGCCUCACUGACAGUGCUUAACCUGUCGUUAUUUUUUUAUAUGGACAAUCCAGCUUUGAAUUAUGCAAAGUUCAUUGUUUAUCCUAAGCAGUGUUAAUUUUAGCAGCAAUUUCUGAUUUAGUUUUUAUUUUAGUCUUGUGACUAAAAUAUCAUUUGAUUUUAGUCACAUUUUAGUCAUCAACAUUUUUUAACUUUUAGUCUAGUUUUAGUCGACUAAAUAUCAAAGAAUUUUUUGAUAUUUAUUUUUUCAAUAAAUAAUUAAGGUUUGAAGUGCAAUAAAAACAGGCAGAUUUAACUUGUGUUAUUUGAAACAAACACCUUUCUAUUUAUUUGCUAUGACCUUUUCACAAAAGAACCAGUGAACAGUGAGCUGCUCUCCCUGAAUACACCGUUCAGUCAUGACUUUCUUCAUGAAUCCUCCAUAACUACAGCAAAACACUUCAGUGACAGCUUAGAAACGGUGCGCAUGCUGUAAAACCAUCAGCAGCGGUGUCUUCAUUUCUAGAUUUUGUCACGUGUAUCUUUGAACGGAAGUUAAGUUAACUCGUCUGCAAAUGUCGCUUCAGGUUUAUUGUUUUUACCGCUGAUAGUCGCUCCGCACGGUUUGAACCGUCCUGUUUGUCUUGACAUCAAACGUGUCCGUGUGUCUGUUCUUCUCCUGUGUUGUGUUACCAUGCAUGAGUACGCCUUCUUCCAGCAUCGCGGGGUAACGUCCUUACCCAGAGAUCACUUCAGAUUGGCUUUCUGCCGCCGUCUCCUGAUUCGUCCCUCCCUUCCACAGUCAAAAUUUUCUCUGAUUGGAUCUCGUCUCCAUCAAUAAUUUCGUCUCGUUUUUAUUCGUUGACGAAAGUGUCAAUACAUUUCGUCUUCGUUUUUGGCACCAUGCGUUUUUAUUUAGUUAUCGUCUCAUUUUUAUCAGCAAAAAAAGGUCGUUAACGAAAACUAUGACGAAAAUGAUUCGUCAACAAAAUUAACACUGAUCCUAAGGUUGUUUUAGACUCUGUGGCUAUGUCAGCACCAACAGCAACAAGAUUGGUUUCAGACUAAUCAAUACUAUAAUCAAUUCAUUUACAUUGGACUGGGAAGAACACAGCUUUUACAGCCAGAAGAAGACAUGGAGUAUCGUUGUCUUGGCCAGUGGUGCUGGUCGCUGUCGGGUCAGACAAAAUGUCUCACACAGAGCUGAAGAGAGCGCCUAUACUGACAGAUGUUAAAAGGCAGUGUAGCAUUAGAUGCUUCCUUUAAACACAGCACUUCUGUGCUGUCGCUUUACUGACAAUGCUUGUCUAAUGAAGGGGUUAAAACAUAACCCUCUGUAAGGACUGAAAGGCUCAUGGUCUGGGCUGUCCAUUUCCCACGUGUGCUCUAACAAACUACCCAGUGCAUCACUGUGGGUGCAUAUAAUGAGUAAGACAAGUUUUGGAGUGAGACAGCACUUGAACAUGUCACAACAUAGUUUAUUUACAAUCAUUCACAAAACCUAAAAAUGGAAUUUUUGAAUUUACGAGUUCAAUAUCACCUAAAUGUCAAAAAUAUUUGCCCGUUAAAUAACUCCCACACAGGCCACCUAUUUUAAGCCUCAAAGAUUGCACAGUUUU
ensembl:lncRNA